rnacentral:misc_RNA from 1 species
UCCGGUUUGGCACCGGCAGUCCCCCUAGAGUCCCCGGCAUUAUCCGCUGGCAACUAAGGACAAGGGUUGCGCUCGUUGCGGGACUUAACCCAACAUCUCACGACACGAGCUGACGACAGCCAUGCAGCACCUGUCUCACGGUUCCCGAAGGCACCAAUCCAUCUCUGGAAAGUUCCGUGGAUGUCAAGACCAGGUAAGGUUCUUCGCGUUGCAUCGAAUUAAACCACAUGCUCCGCUGCUUGUGCGGACCCCCGCCAAUUCCUUUGAGUUUCAACCUUGCGGUCGUACUUCCCAGGUGGAUUACUUAAUGCUUUCGCUCAGACACCAACAGUGUAUCGCUGAUGUCGAGUAAUCAUCGUUUAGGGCGUGGACUAC